CUGCUUGUGUAUGUAUAAAGAAAUCCAGAAAUCCAUAGUUUAAGGAAUAAGAUUAGAUAAAGUAGUAAAAAUUUGAACAUUUUAAAUAUGAUGUAGUCCAAAGAUAUUACGAGGUAGUUUCUCGCUUCAA